rnacentral:rRNA from 1 species
UUAGAGUUUGAUCCUGGCUCAGAAUAAACGCUGGCGGCAUGCUUAACACAUGCAAGUCGUACGAGAAAGUCUCCUUCGGGGGGCGAGUAAAGUGGCGGACGGGUGAGUAACACGUAAGAACCUGCCCUUUGGUUUGGGAUAACGUCGCGAAAGCGGCGCUAAUACCAAAUGAUGUCUACGGUCCAAAGAGGGCGAAAGCUCUCGCCAGAGGAGGGGCUUGCGUCCCAUUAGCUUGUUGGUGAGGUAAUAGCUUACCAAGGCGACGAUGGGUAGCCGGCCUGAGAGGGUGUACGGCCACACUGGGACUGAGACACGGCCCAGACUCCUACGGGAGGCAGCAGUGAGGAAUAUUGGACAAUGGAUGGAAAUCUGAUCCAGCCAUGCCGCGUGCAGGAAGACGGCCUUAUGGGUUGUAAACUGCUUUUAUACGGGAGCAAUAAGGGUUACGAGUAAUCCGAUGAGAGUACUGUAUGAAUAAGGAUCGGCUAACUCCGUGCCAGCAGCCGCGGUAAUACGGAGGAUCCGAGCGUUAUCCGGAAUUAUUGGGUUUAAAGGGUGCGUAGGCGGCCAUUUAAGUCAGCGGUGAAAUUUUGCAGCUUAACUGUAACAGUGCCGUUGAUACUGUUUGGCUAGGAUUUGGUUGUAGUGUGCGGAAUGUGUGGUGUAGCGGUGAAAUGCUUAGAUAUCACACAGAACACCGAUUGCGAAGGCAGCACACUAAGUCAUUAUUGACGCUGAGGCACGAAAGUGUGGGGAUCAAACAGGAUUAGAUACCCUGGUAGUCCACACUGUAAACGAUGAUAACUCGCUGUCGGCGAUACACAGUCGGUGGCCAAGCGAAAGCAUUAAGUUAUCCACCUGGGGAGUACGACCGCAAGGUUGAAACUCAAAGGAAUAGACGGGGGCCCGCACAAGCGGAGGAACAUGUGGUUUAAUUCGAUGAUACGCGAGGAACCUUACCCGGGCUCGAACGGUGCAUGAAUAUACGAGAGAUUGUAUAGUCCUUCGGGACAUGUAUCGAGGUGCUGCAUGGUUGUCGUCAGCUCGUGCCGUGAGGUGUCGGCUUAAGUGCCAUAACGAGCGCAACCCUCGUCAUUAGUUGCCAUCAGGUCAAGCUGGGGACUUUAAUGAGACUGCCACCGUAAGGUGUGAGGAAGGGGGGGGGGACGUCAAAUCAGCACGGCCCUUAUGUCCGGGGGGACACACGUGUUACAAUGGGAGGUACAGAGGGCAGCUAUCCGGUGACGGAAUGCUAAUCUCCAAAACCUUUCUCAGUUCGGAUUGGAGUGUGCAACUCGACUCCAUGAAGGUGGAUUCGCUAGUAAUCGCGCAUCAGCCAUGGCGCGGUGAAUAAGUUCCCGGGCCUUGUACACACCGCCCGUCAAG